rnacentral:rRNA from 1 species
CAGUCGCCGCGGGAAUACGUAGGGUCCGAGCGUUGUCCGGAAUUAUUGGGCGUAAAGGGCUCGUAGGCGGUUUGUCGCGUCGGGAGUGAAAGCCAGCAGCUUAACUGCUGGUCUGCUUUCGAUACGGGCAGACUUGAGGCAUUCAGGGGAGAACGGAAUUCCUGGUGUAGCGGUGAAAUGCGCAGAUAUCAGGAGGAACACCGGUGGCGAAGGCGGUUCUCUGGGAAUGUUCUGACGCUGAGGAGCGAAAGUGUGGGGAGCGAACAGGAUUAGAUACCCGAGUAGUCCCUGUCUCUUAUAC